UACCGGCUGCUCGAGUGAUAGCGUUGUUCGGAAUUAUUGGGCGUAAAGCGCGUGUAGGCGGCUAUUUAAGUCAGAUGUGAAAGUCCCGGGCUCAACUCGGGAAGUGCAUUUGAAACUGUUCGGCUAGAGUUAGGGAGAGGAAAGUGGAAUUCCUGGUGUAGAGGUGAAAUUCGCAGAUAUCAGGAGGAACACCGGUGGCGAAGGCGGCUUUCUGGCCCUCUACUGACGCUGAGACGCGAAAGCGUGGGGA
rnacentral:rRNA from 1 species